rnacentral:rRNA from 1 species
UACGUAGGGGGCUAGCGUUGUCCGGAAUCAUUGGGCGUAAAGCGCGUGUAGGCGGUCCGGUAAGUCCGCUGUGAAAGUCGGGGGCUCAACCCUCGGAUGCCGGUGGAUACUGUCGGGCUCGAGUACGGAAGAGGCGAGUGGAAUUCCUGGUGUAGCGGUGUAAUGCGCAGAUAUCAGGAGGAACACCAAUUGCGAAGGCAGCUCGCUGGGACGUUACUGACGCUGAGACGCGAAAGCGUGGGGAGCAAACAGG